GGUUCUGUUGUAUAGUGGUUAUUACGUUGCCUUUACACGGCAAAGGUCGCGAGUUCGAUCCUCGCCGGAAUCA
rnacentral:tRNA from 5 species